rnacentral:rRNA from 11 species
UAUGGCAGCCUUAAACACCCUAAAAACACCAGAUACUGUCUGAUCUUGGAAGUUAUGUAAGGUCUGCCAUGGUCAGUCCAUGGACAGGAGACCACCAAUGAAUCCCAGCCGCUGUGGGCU